GUUUAGUCUUUCUUGUAGUAUAGGUUUUGUUAUUAAAGCUAGCGUUUUGUUUCAUUAACCUGCGGACUGGUCUCCUGUAUUUGGGUCCUCCUUUCAAACCCUGGUGCUGCAUCAGGAUCACUGAAGACAAACACUUCAGCGGUUAACGUUACUCAUGAACUUUGUUUUCAAGUAAUGCGAUCAUCAUUGGUUCAUGUAAUUGAUAGGCGGGGCCAUCCACUUGGGUUGAGUGGGAGCACCUGGGCCCAAUGCUCCCACUCACUACAUAAGCUACCACCUUGGUCCUCUCAGAGACUUCUUUAUUUUUUUUUUCACCAACACCCGCACACCAUCCCACACAUCCACUCACUGACAUGGCUGGCUUUACUGCCAUCCACAUCUCUUUUGCAACUUAGUUGUUGUUUUUUUGUAAAUAAAUCAGUUAAUUUUA